rnacentral:lncRNA from 1 species
GGUUGAAGUUCAAGUACUUUUGGACCCAUGGUAUGAGCUUCCUGUUGAGCUGCUGUUUCACAAAUUAUUAAAUAUCCCAGUGUUGAUGGGUUGUUUUGGUUGGGAGGAGUCUCCAUGAGGCUUGCAGCUCUUGUGUUGAGUGGUUGUUGGAGAGAGACUCCUUCUCAUUAGUGUGAAUCUCCGGGGCCUCGGCUAGUAUCGCGUGCUUUUCUUUUCUUGAGGUUUUUAUUACCUCAGCUCUGUGCCAAUCAACUUGUAUGUCAUUCUCAUAUGCACUCAUCGCUAAGGCUGUACUCAUUUUGCCAUUAGCGAGGUCUCUUUUAUGUUCAUUCAAUCUUUGGUCGAGUGCCCUAGUUGUAACUUCUAUGUACAACUCAUUUUUGCAUGUGUCAUUAUUCCUGACUGGUAUAAUUUGUAUAUCCUGGAUCUUUGUUUACUUUCUACUUUUUCUUUCUCAUUCCUGAGUUGGCUAUAUAGCGUCGGGUACCUCUUAUAAGCUAUUUUCUUAUUGGUUUUUCCAACUAAUCUAGCAACUUUGGAAUCUUUCAUCGUAUAUGAGAUAGGUUCAUAUUCCAUAUCUUUUGCCUCUUCAAUGGCAUUUUUGCCUUCCAGGGAUUGCUGUAUUUUAUAAUAAAUUGCUUCUAAGAACCACUUAGUAUAUACAUACAACUGACCCAUUCUGUAGAUGUACUCAAAUUCUUUUUCCAUUUCCUCCUGGGUAGUGACGUAAGUGUUGGCCCUUUUGAAGUAAUACCUAAAUGCAGAAAUUUUAUAGAUCGGGUCAGGAGACCAUCUGGGUAUGAUAACUGGUUCAUAUGCUGGCCUUCUAUAGACUGCAGUGUCCAGUUUCUUAUUCUUUAGCUCUAACUUUAUAUCUAGGAAAUGGAAAUAUAAAGGAAAAGGAAAUGUGCCGAUGUACAUCAGCACAUUUCCUAGAUAUAAAGUUACGCAAUACUAGCCGAGGCCAUGGAGAUUUACACUAACGAGAAGGAGAGUCUCUUGAAUAACCACUCAGCACAAGAGUUGC